GUUGUGCUCAAUUCUAGGAGACAUCUUUAUGGAGGGGAAAUGUCUCUGGGAGUAGUUGAAUGGUUCCUCACUGAAGUCUCUUCUGCUUUCCAGAGGACACCAAACUCCAUUUUGGUGACCACAAGAAUUUCAUUAAAGUUGAAUAUGUAGCUUGGCCCAAGGCCACUGGAGACAAGGAUGGUACCAAUAAGAGAAGCAACAGAGAUGAGUGAAUGCUUUGCUGCCCACAGUUUCCUUGCCCUAAUUUCUACCUCAUGUCCCUGUUUUCUUCUUUUCCUACCAUUUCUUCCUCUCCAAGUGCAGCCUUCCUGCCCAGACUAUAGAACUACAGGGGUCAGGAUUUCCUGUCCAGUUCCUUCCAGAUGCCUUGGCUCAUGCCCAGUGAGGAAGCUUCAGGUAGAUGAAAGAAGAUGAAACUACUCCUAGGAGAUCACAGCUGGUGAGAAAGAGUCCCUUGGAUGGAUGCUUGCCUGCCCCAGGAAGUAAUUCCAGAGCAGUCUUCCUCCUCAUUGGUUCUACAGGGGGAAGCAGGUAGUUGGGCUUGAAUGCACAGUGUCAUGGAUGCAAUGUACUUCAAGAAGCAAUGGUUAAGCACACUACUUGGCCCUGGAUCGAAAGGAUACAGAGAAAAAAGUAUUGAUUCCUGCCCUCAAUGGGAUAACAUUUUAGUAAUGGGGAAGAUUUCCAUUAGCAUUUGAGGAAGCAUUGAUGGAAGCCAGGGAUUCUACGAGGCAGAGAGGAAGAAGGAGUGCAGCUUGUUGUAGUAGGGGAUUGCAUUACAGUAAGCCCCAUGGAGGCUGAGUUUGCACUCUCAUGACUGCUCUGGAAUUAGAACUCAGCACUCAAAGGGAUAACCUAAAAGCCAGCUCAUGCCAAGCAACUUGAGCAAAGACCUGAGUGAGAAGAUGAUGCAUUCAUGGAAGGAAACAAGGAAGGAGAGAGCUAACAUUCUGAAAGACCUGGAGUCUUCACCACACUGAGCACAGUCUCUUUGUGACCGGACCUUUUUAUAGCUCAAGGAAGCCAAGGCACCCGAGGGAGCAGGAGAAUUCUUCUCUUUUUGGUGGAGAAGUCUGUUGUCCUUCAGGGGGUUUCACUUGCAUUGCACACUCUUGGGUAUGUCUUUGUUUUGGGGUCUACUGAAAACUGCCUGAAUCUUGGCCAUAUAGGGCAUCAAAGUCCAUUGUCAAGGAUGUGACCCUUACUCUUGCCAAGACCCUACUGAAAUCUUUGAAUUCUGACUCUUUUGAGAUCUUGCUCCUAUCUUCAAACCCUCAUCACUUCCUGGAAACUUUCUUACUGCCUAAAAAUGUGCCAAGGUCUUUCCUCUAAACUUCAAAAUGUUGUGAU